GGGUGAUUAGCUCAGUUGGUAGAGCGCUUCGUUUACACCGAAGAUGUCGGCGGUUCGAGCCCGUCAUCACCCACCA
rnacentral:tRNA from 6 species